rnacentral:rRNA from 2 species
CCUACGGGAGGCAGCAGUAGGGGAUCUUGCGCAAUGGGCGAAAGCCUGACGCAGCGACGCCGCGUGGGGGAAGAAGGCCUUCGGGUCGUAAACCCCUGUCCCAGGGGACGAGGCAGGACGGUACCCUGGGAGGAAGCCCCGGCUAACUACGUGCCAGCAGCCGCGGUAAU